AGAGAGACGGCAAAGUUACAAGAAACAAAUCCUGCAUCCGUAUGGUCGUGUGAUCAGGUUCUAAUUGAUAUUGUUUCAGACCGUUGAGGUGAAGCUUGGUUUAACAACUAGAGAUUAGAGCAGUGGAAUAUCUUUUGGUGGUAGAUCAUUGGAGACAUAGAUUGAAGACUUCCUUUGGAGCUAUGUUAGUUGAGGGAUUGUUUUAGUAUAUUUUCUUAGGAUAGUAAUUUUGGCAUUUGUGGAACUCUUUGAGAUUAUAUUUGGAGACUUUAUUGUUAAAGUUUUGUUUUUAUGGAUUUCAUAGGAAAGAUUUUGAUUACUUGAAGUUUAU